AAAAACACGACGACGACGACGAGCAGUUUACGAUAAUUAAGCGGAGACGAGUGUUGUAGUUUUCAGACGAUAUUGUUGUACGGUGUGUCGCCUGAUGCGUCGAACGGUACACGCGAACUCUGUUAGAGAUCGCUGCUGCUAACACCGUGCACAAGGUCGACCGAUCUCGGUGAAUGGACAAGAAUAAUAAUACGUAUAAUAUUAUAAACAAUAACAAUAAUAAUAUAAUAAUUAUUAUAAAAUACAAAGA